UCAGCAUGUUGUACAGUAGAUUUUUUUUUUUUUUUUUUUUUUUUUGAGAUGAAGUCUUGCUCUGUUGCCCAGGCUGGAGUGCAAUGGUAUGAUCUCAGCUCACUGCAACUUCCACCUCCCAGGUUCAAGCCAUUCUCCUGCCUCAGCCUUCCGGGUAGCUGGGACUACAGGCGCGUGCCAACAUGCCCGGCUAGUUUUUUGUGUUUUCAGUAGAGAUGGGGUUUCACCAAGCUGGCGAGGCUGGUCUCGAACUCCUGACCUCAAGUGAUCCUCCCACCUUGGCCUCCCAAGGUGCUGGGAUUACAGGCGUGAUUCACCGCGCCCGGCCAGUUGUACGCUAGAUCUCCUGAAGGUAAUCCUCCUGUCUAGUUGAUAUUUUGUAACUUUCAGCAACAUCUUUCCAGCCCCUGGUAACCACCAUUUUCCUCUUCGAUUCAAGUUUCUUGGCAAUGAAUAGUCUUGAACAGAUAUUUGGAAUUACCUUUUGAAGGAAGUACGAUUCUUGGCUCAGUGUAACUUACUCAAGUAUCCGAAAGGGCUGAUUUAUAAGGGAGAAGGCUAAGGACGAUCUGUUAACAUUGCCAUCGGUUAUUCCAUGAAGCGGUAGCCACUGAAGGAAAGUCUGAGUAGUUUAGGUUAAUCCCAUGUCUUAGACCAUUCAGGUAGCUAAAACAAAGUAACACAGACAGGGUGGCUUAUAAGCAGCAGACAUUUAUUGCUUUCUGUUCUGGAGGCUGGAAGUCCCAGAUCAGGGCCCCAGCAUGGUUGGUUUCUGGUUCCUUGUGUCCUGUCGCAUGCUGCUGACCUCAUGACCUAAUCACCUCCCAAAGGCCCACCUCCUAAUACCAUCACGUUGGGGGUUGGGAUUUCACCAUAUGAAUUGAGGGGAGGAGGGUAAACAUUCCAUCUAUAGUACUCCCUAGACGACAUUUUCUGUUUACUGUCACUUGUAAAAAUCCAGUGAUUCUCUUUUUUACAUGUUGUGAUUUUUAAUGCAGUAAAAGACAGGGUAAGGCUAGCCUGGAGACAAAAAAUCAGGAAUAAAAGAAACAGAAGACAGGAUGAGAACAGGCAUACAGUACAGACAUGGAAAGUGAAGGAAAGAAAAAGUGAAUAAACAUUGAGACAUAGAAACAGAAAAAGAGAAAAAUAGGUCAGUUUUUGAAAUAUUAACUUAAAGCUCCUUUUGCUCCUAGUUUACUGAUAGAAGUCAGUGAUAUUCCUUACCCCCUAUAGAUUCAAUCAUACCAACAGAAGGCUAAAGAAAGGCACAGGUGGUGUAAACUUACUAAAACUCUUCAUCAGAACUUUGAAGCUACUUACUAUUUCUAGCUAAAUACUUUCUAUUUCUUAAAUAUUGUUUGUUUACUCGUGUGUGAAGGUAAAUUGUAUUUAAUACAGAACUUCCUGUGGUGUGAUAUUAAAGAUGACAGUGAAAACCCGCAAGUCAAGAAAUGCAAACUGUCCCUGCGAAACGAGAGACCUGGGUCAUCUACAGAGGAAUACAGUAACUAACAACCCCUACUAUAAGCUUCUUCAUAGCUUCUAAAGGUUGGUGGAGAAACCAACCCAUUUCGUGCUUCCUUACCCCAAGUAAGAAUUUAAGGAAGUAAUGUAGGCUGUCUAACAAUACAAAAUGACUUGCCUAUGAAAGUAUUGUGAUCAGAGUUUGACUUCAGCUUUAACGGCCAAGAAACAGAAGAUGUGAGUCACUGCCAAAUAUGCAUAUUGGUUUAUUUUGUGUGCGUGUUUUGUUUAUAGUUUUGUAGUUUUGUUUUUGUGAUGCAGAGCCUUCUGCUCCUGACAUUUGCAUUUUUCACCUCAUAUCUCCAAUGCAUUUCACUGCCACCAUGCUGCCACCAACACCACCGCCAUGAGGACAGGACAAGAACUUUGUCUUUUUCAAUGCUAGGGCAGUGCAGAAGGGAAAUGCAGGGUCAGAGCCCCUACACAGUCCCCACUGGGGCACUGCCUAGUGGAGCUCUGAGAAGAAGGCCACCAUCCUCCAGACCCCAGAACAGUAGAUCCACCGCUGGUUUGCACCUUGCGCCGGGAAAAGCUGUAGGCACUCAGUUGUCAGCCCAUGAAAGCAGCUGGAAGGGGCCUGUGCCCUGCAGAGCCACAGGGGCAGAGCUGCCCACGGCCCUGAGAGCCCACCUCUUGCAUCAGCGUGACCUGGAUGUGAGACGUGGAGUUAAAGGAGAUCAUUCUGGAACUUUAAGGUUUAAUGACUGCCCUAUUGGAUUUCAGACUUGCCUGGGGCCUGUAGUCUCUUCGUUUUGGCCAAUUUCUCCCAUUUGGAGUAGGUGUAUUUACCCAAUGCCUGUACCCUCAUUGUAUCUAGGAAGUAACUAACUUGCUUUUGAUUUUACAGGCUUAUAGGCAGAAGGGACUUGCCUCGCCUUAUAUGAGACUUUGGACUUGGACUUUUGGGUUAAUGCUGGGGGCCUGUUGGGAAGGCAUGAUUGUGUUUUGAAAUGUGAGGACAUGAGAUUUGGGAGGGGCCGGGGCAGAAUGGUAUGGUUUGGCUGUGUCCCCACCCAAAUCUCAUCUUAAAUUGUAGUUCCCAUCAUCCCCACGUGUCAUGGGAGGCACCCAGUGGGAGGUAAUAGAAUCAUGGAGGUUGUUACCCACCAUGCUGUUCUCAUGAUAGUGGGUGGCUUCUCAUGAGAUUUGAUGGCUUUAUAAGGGUCCUUUCCGCCUUUGCCUGGCACUUCUGUCUCCUGCCACCAUGAUUGUAAGUUUCCUGAGGCCUCCCCAGCCAUGCAGAAGUGUGAGUCAAUUAAACCUCUUUAAUAAUUACCCAGUCUCGGGUAUUUCUUCAUAGCAGCGUGAGAAUGGGCUGACACACUAUGUCUUUCUAUUUAAGGUGGGUUUCUUGUAGAGAACAUAUAUCAAAUCAGUAAUUGUCUUCUGAUUGAAGUGUUUAGAAUAUUUGCACCUGAUAUAAUUAUUGACACAGUAAAGUUAAACCUAUCAUCUUUAUAUUUAUUUGUUUCAUCUAUUUUUUUCCUCUGUUUUUGUUUUCUUUUAAAGUAAUUUUUUUUUGUUAUUUUAUUUUAUUUCCACUAGUGGCUUAAAGCUCAACUCCCCACCCCUUUUAAGUGAUUACUCUGUGGUUUACAGUGUACAGUUUUACCUUAUCAUAGUCAAAUUUUGAAAAUAUAGUAUACCACUUCAGGUAUAGUAUUGGAAUCUGCCAAUAGUAUACUUCUAUUUCCUUUGUCUCAAACUUUAUGCUAUCAUUGGCAUACAUUUUAUUCCUCCAUAUAUUAUAAAAGCCAUAGUACAUUGUUACUGUUUUUGCUUUAAAUCAGUUAUCUUUUUUUAUUGUUUAUUGUGCUAAAACAUACACAACAUAAAUUUUACCAUCUUAAAAAUUUUUACGUGCACAGUUCAGUGUUAUAUUCAUAACGUAAACUAUCACCACCAUCUAUCUCUGUAGCUCUUUUCAUCUUGCAGAACUGAAACGCCAUACCUGUUAAACAGUAACUCCCCAUUCUCCCUUGCCCCAUAUUCCAUCUGCCUUCUGAUUUUACUCCUGUAAGGGUUUCGUAUAAAUGGAAUCAGGCAGUAUUUGUCGUUUUGUGACUGACGUAUUUCAUGUAGCAAGGUUCGUCUGUGUUGCACCUUGUUUAAGGAAAUGCUGUGUCAGAAUUUCGUUCCUUUUUAAGGCUACUGUUUUAUAUACCACAUUUUCCUUAUUCAUUCCUCCAUUGAUGAACACUCGGGUUGCUUCCACAUUUUAGCUCUCAUGAAUAGUGCUACCGUGAACACGGGUGUAUAAAUACCUUUUCGAGACUGUGCUUUCCGUUCUUUUGGUAUAAAAUCAAAAGAAGAGAAAUUGCUGGACUAUGAGUUAACCCUAUUUUCAAUUUUUUGAGGAACCACCGUACUGUUUUCCACAGCGGCUGUACCAACUGACAUUCCCACCAGCGGUACACAAGCGUUCCAGUUUCUCCAUAUCCCGGCCAACACUUGUUAUUUUGUAGUCUUUCGUGUGUUUUUUAAAUAGUAGCCACCCUAAUGGGUGUAAGGUGGCAUCACAUAGUUUUGAUUUGCAUUUCCCUAAUGAUUCAUGAUGUUGAGCAUCUCUUCAUGUGCUUAUUGGCCAUUUCUGUUUUUUCUUUGGAGAAAUAUCUAUUCAAGUUCUCAGCCUAUUUUUAAAUCAGGUUUUCUGUUGUUGUUGUUACUGAGUUUUAGAAGUUCUCUACAUAGUUAGAUAGUUAUCCCUAAUCAGAUAUACGAUUUGCAAAUAUUUUCUCCCGUUCUGUGGUUAUCUUCUCACUGUUACUGUGGUAAUAGUGUCUUUCGAUGCACACAUUUUUUUAUUUUCAGGAAGUCCCAUUUGUCUAUUUUAAUCAUUUAUAUUUUAUAGAGAUUAAGAUUAUAAAAUAAUAUUUUUCUCAUAUGUUUACCAUUUUCAAAAAUCUUUGUUUUUUAUCUGUGUAUGUCUGAAUUUCCAUCUGUCAUCAUAUUCCUUCUCUCUAAAGAACUUACUGAGGCUGAGAGCAGUGGCUCAUGCCUGUAAUCCCAGCACUUUUGGAGGCCAAAGCAGGAGGAUUGCUUGAGGCCAGGAGUUCAAGACUAGCCUGGACAACGGUGAAGCCCUUAUCUCUACAAAAAUUUAAAUUUAAAUUUAAAAAAUUUAGCUGGAUACAGUGGUGUGUGCCUGCAGUCCCACCUACUCGGGAGGCCCAGGUGGGAGGAUCACUUUAGCUCAGCAGUUCAAGAUUGCAGUGAGCUAUGAUCACGCCACUGCACUCCAACCUGGGCUGCAGAAUGAGACCCUGUCUCAGAAAAUUAAAAAUAAAUUAAAAAUAAAUUUUAAAAAAGAACUUCCUUUUAAAUGUCUUGUAGUACACAUCUGCUGGUAAUUAAUUCUAUGUUUUAUUUGUAUGAGGGAGUGUAUUUUUAUCAACUUCCGUUAUGGCCAGAAUUGUGUCCCCCCUCCCAAAAUUCCUAUGUUGAAGUCUUAACCCUCAGUACCUCAAAGUGUGACGACUAUAUUUAGAGAUAAGACCUUUAAAGAGAUAAUUAAGUUAAAAUGAGGCCAUUAGGGUGAACCCUAAUCCAUUGUAACUGAUAUCCUUUUAAGAGACACACCAGGGUACACACACACAGGAAAAUACCACAUAAGGGCAAAGCAAGAAGGUGGCCAUCUGUAAGCCAAGGAGAGAGAGGCCUCAGAAGAAAUGAAACCUGCUAAUACUUUGAUGUUGGAUUUCUGGCUUCCAGAACUGUGAGAAAAUUAACUUCUGUUGUUUAAGCCACCCAGACUGGUAUUUUGUUAUGGCAGCCCUAGAAAACUGUACACCUUGUUUUUGAGAUGUUCUCUGGGCACAGAUUUCUUGGUUGACAGGGAUUUUUUUUUUCCUCUUUCUUUUAAUACUUUUAAGAUGUGGUUCCAUUUUCUUUUGGCUUGUAUAGUUUCUGUUGAGGUCUGCUAUAUUCAUGUAGCUUUGUUUUGGGGUGAGUGGGUUGGUUGGUUGGUUGAUAUACCAUGUUCUUUUUUCUCCUGAGGCUUUCAAAAUAUUCUCUUUAUCUUUAGUUUUCAACCAUUUGAUGAUAAUGUACCUAGUUGUGUUUUUCUGUAUAUCUAUCUUGUUUGGAAUUCUCUGAGCCCCUGCUCUGGAUCUGUGUUUUGUUGUCUUUCAUUAAUUUUGGAAAAUUCUUGGCCAUUAUCUCUUCAGAUAUAUCUUCUGCCCACUUCUCUCUUCUCCUUUGUAACUACCAUUAUGUAUUUGUUAGAUCAUUUGAUAUUGUCCCAUAUCUCUUGGAUUUCUGUUUUGUUUUGUUUUCUAUAUUUUCUUAUUAUACUUGAAGUUUUCUGUUAUUAGUUUGGAUAAUUUAUAUUGAUCUAUACUUAAGUUCACUUUCUUUUUGUGUGUGUGUCAUAAUUUUUUAUUAAAUGUUAAAUAGUCUAAGUAAAAAGAACAGUGGAAACCAAGGUAAAUAAAACUUAUGUCUGGAAAUAUACUUUCCUCUUCUUCUGUCAGGCCAUUAGCAUUGGGGACUGAAUCAAAUAACUCACUAAUUGAGCUGGGUUUGGGCUUCUUUCCACUCUAGUUACCUUCAUGGUGCCACAGGCCUUGAGCUUUUCAGUGGUGGAUUGCCACUUUCAUACGUUUAAUGUGAGCUCUGUGGUGCCGAUGUUUCUGUUUCAUGCUUCUCUCUCAGCUUUCAGCAUGUCCUUCAUGCCUGCACCGCAGAGGGCCUCUCUCCAUGCUCUUGUUCUUCUCUAAGCAGUAGACUGUUCUUGUUACUCAGUGAAGACUCAGGGUCGGGCAGGAGUGGCUUCUUCAUUUUCCUGCUCCAGUCUUGGUCUUGGUACUUCUGUCCCACCCCCAGUGACAGACAACAUCUCCCCCCUACUCAGCACAGGUCUAGACUGUCGGCUGAUUUCCUACCCCUUCCCCAGUAGCAGCAGACUUCUAGUUUGAAUCCAUUCAUAAUUUGGGGUCCUACUGGACUCCCUGUCUCCUUCCUGGCAACAGUUUGCUUUUGCCUAAUGUCAGCACAAGAGGUAGGGUAGAUUUUGUACCAAUUCUCUAGCCUAGGAAUAGAGGCCAUGAAGGUUGCUGCCCUACCCCCAGAAGCACACAGCUUUUCCCUUGUUCUAAAAUGUUGAGCAUGGAAAAUUUGGCCUUAUGUCUUCUCACUUCCGGGCUUUCUUGAUGUCAAGCUCCCUGUCAUUCUGUGUCCAUGUUGUGAUUGAAGAAAGCAAUCUUAAACAUGCAUAUUUUAGGAGUCACAAAAAAUUAUUUGCAGAGGAUUCCAGAAGAAAGUUUCCUCUGUGAAAACCUUCUCUUACCAUUUUUUACAUUAUAUAUAAUUUCUAUUUUUGUCCCCAGGCUUUUUUCUUUAUUGUGUGUGAUUGUAUCAAAUUAAUUUUAAUGAAAUAUUUCAAACAUUUGGAAAAAUAUGGAGAUUAAUAUAACAUUACCUUUAUACCCAGAAUUAACAAAUAUUACUUUGUCUUAUCUUCUUCAGAUCCUUUUUAAUGCUAAAUAUAGUAUGAUAUUGUGAUAUAAUAAGAAAUACACAUUUGGUCUCGGUCCCUAGUUCCUUAUACACAGCUCCUGAAACUCUUGGAAUCCCCUGAGUGAUGCGUGUUUGUUUUUUUAAUGCUAAUAGAUGACUGGUGGCUGGGAGCUCUGGAUGGAGACUGGUUACCAAGGGAACCAACCCUGUGAUAGAUGGUUGGGACUCUCCAGCCCACACCCCAGCCUCUAGAGAGAGGAGGGGAGCUGCAGGUUGAGUUGAUUGCCCGUGGCCAAUGAUGUAAUUAAUCAUGCCUACUUAAUGAAUCUUCCGUAACACUCUAAAGGAUAGUGUCCAGAUGGGUUCCAGAUAGCCAGCCGAACACACGGAGGUGCUGGAGGUGCCCAGAGAGGUCACGGAAGCUCCACACCCCUCUCCAUGUGCCUUGCCCUGUGCAUCUCUUCAUCUGCCGGUUCAUUUGUGUUAUCCUUUGAAAUAUCCUUUGUAAUAAAUGGGUAAACAUGAGUAAAGUGUUUCCCCAAGUCCCAUAAGCCAUUCUAUCAAAUUAACCUAAUCCGAGGAAGAGAUCCUGAGAACUCCGGUUUAUAGCUGGUCAGUCAGAAGCACAGGUCACAACCUGUGAUUGGCAUCUGAAGCUGGAGGGUGGAUACUGUGGGACUGAGCCCUUAAUCUGUGAAGUCCGACACUGUCUCCAGGUAACUAGUGUCAGAAUUAAAUUCUAGGACACCCGGUUGGCGUCUGCUGGAGAAUCUGGGUCAGGAGAGUUGUGCCGACUCUGUGAGAUUAGGAAAAACACUUUGUUUUUUCCUGCCUCUAAUAAUAAUUAAAGUCUUCUUUGUAUCUCUUCUCAGCUGUAUUUUUCUUUUUUCAACUACAGUGGCACAGCCACCAUCCUAAAUUGGUGUGCAUUUUUACAGUCCAUAUUUUUAGCGUUUUAAUACAUAUAUGUUUCCAUAAACAAUGUACAAUACUGUUGAGUGUGAUAUAAAUUUAAAAUAUAUCGUCUCAUACUACUUAGGCUGUCAGUUCAUUAUUACUUACUGAACUCAGGCCCUCUAGUCAUUUGAUAAUAGAAGAAAACAUAUUCUUGACAUUUUUCAGAGAGGGUGAUUCUUAGACCAUUUUUUUAGGGGCCUAAGCCCUAAAGAAGCCUUCUUUAAAGGAAAUAGAUUGAGGUAAUGUCAAGGUGGAACACAAUUAUGGUACGAAGUGUCUUGACCCAGCACUAAGAAAAAGGUUUUAUUAAAUUCAGGAGUUUUUUAAAUUGCUGCGCAAUAGAAAUACUUAUUUUUGGAGUGUGGAUAAUUUGAUACAUUCAUAUGCUGUGUAAAUAUAAAUAAGAAUAAUUGGGAUAUCUGUCACCCUAAAUACUUUCCUUUCUUAAUGCUAGGAACCUUGAAAUUCUCUUCUAAUCUUCAUACAAUGUACAACAGAUUAACAUUAACUGUAGUCACCCUAUUGAUCUGUGGAACACUAGGUCUUACUUCUAUCUAACUAUAUUUUAACCCACUAAUCAGCCUCUCUUCAGCACGCCCCAACCCCCUUCCUGGCCUCUCAAGUUCAGUUUUAGAUUUCAGCAUCUUCUCUGUUUACUUUAGGAUGCUCCCGUAUCUGACCACUGUUACUUAGCUUUCAGAAUCGCCGAUCACUGAAAUUCCAGGUCCAGGGGUUCUGCACUGCGCUUAGAAUUUCUCCUCAUGUAUAAGAUGUGCUGGUUGCACCGCCAAGCCCUGUUGCCGUCUGUGGGACAGGAAGCCUUGUUAGUGCCUCCAUGAAUCCAGCACUGACAUUAGCUCACGUAGAACUAACAUCUACUCAGGGAGUUGCGUUAGUGGCUCUUAAGAAACUCCAUGAAAAUUGUGAGAAAACUUCAAUGAGAACGUUUUUGACAAGUCGCCUUUCCCUUGUAUAUAAAUGCGAACCGUUUUUCAUUUUCAAAAUUUCAAACUUUUUCAUAGAACUCAAGGAUUUGAGUCCUGCUUCCUUUGAGAGGGGUAACAGUGAGUUUUACAUAAACACUGUGUAUGAUUUUAAAAGGCAGUACUGAACAUGUGCUACACAUUAAUUCCUUAGUUUCGAAAGAUGCGACGGAGUGGGAAAGUUCGAUAUCCACAGGUGCAGAUAUUGGAAAGACCACACUCAGGUGUAUGAUCUUUCUCAUAGCUGCAAGUGACUGUGUUCAGCUUUCCAAUGAGGUGAGGAAACAUUUAUGGGCCUCCUAUGGCUCUCUUAUUCAUUCACCACUGUGCUGUGUAACACAAUUUCCCUGCAACAAUAAACUUCAACUUUGCAAUUUGUCACCAGUGCAAUGGCUCAUGUAGUUAUAAAGUGAACGUGGUGACCAAUUUGGGGCGUAAUAUUGUUCUGCAGUCAAAGUAUCCUAAUUUGAAGAAAUUUUAUGUAUCGUGAUUUUACACCAACUGGCCAAAGUCAGAUAGUCUGAUUAAAUAGAUUUGGUUUUGGCUAACUAUAUGUAGUUAAUUCUACACACUUUAAAUAUUUUGGUUUGCAGGUAUUUUUUGAAGGCUUAAGUAUUUGGUUUCUGUUUCUUUGGGUUUCCUGUCUGUAGAUUCUACCAAGCGUAUGUUGUUGAAAUAAUGAAUUCAGGGCCACCUUACCCCUAGCUGCAAUCUUGUCAAGUUCCAGCAGCUGAGUAAACUUGGGUCAGGUCAGAUUUGAGACACCCUAUGACCAAGAAGAUAUUAUUUCUAAAUAUCUUGUAUACAUUGAAGAACAGCCAUUAUUUUAUCUCUUCAAGGUAAUUUUCUUAUCUAGUUCAUGUUAUGUUUUUUACUUCUUUUGAAUUAUAUAAAAUUGGAAGUUAUAUUUAUAAUAUUGUUGUAAUGUGAGGCCAAGGGGGAGCACACAUCAGAAGAUGGAAUAAGCAAGCAGAAGCUCGGAUCUGAGUCUCACAGUACUCCAGAUGCAGUGAGUGGUUCUGGAGCUGUACUUCUCAAAGAGGGUGGCAGCUCUCAGAGAGGGUGGGGCCCUCAGAAUCACCAGAAGAACUGUGUUCUCUUGCAUUCCCAUCCCCAUAAUUCUAAUAAUCUAGAGAAAAUGAAGAGAGAAAAAAUAAGGUGAAGCCAGGAGUGAGCUCGCAGGCAUUGUCAGAGAUUUAAUUAUUGUCAUGUGCUACAUAACAAUAUUUCAGUCGAUGACGGACCCCAUGUUCCACAGUGCUCCCGUAAGAUGAUAAGACCAUAUUUUUACUGUACCUUGUCUAUGUUUAGAUAUGUUUGGAUCCAGAAAUACCACUGUGUUCCAGUUGCCUACAGUACGUAGUACAGUCACAUGCUGUACAGGUUUGUAGCCUAGGAGCAAUAGGCUGUACCAGACACCCUCGGUGUGUAGCAGCUAUACCACCUAGGUCUGUGUAAGUCAGUCUGUGAUGUUCCCACAACAAGACCUCCUGACGAUGCAUUUCUCAGAAUGUAUCCCCACCAUUAAGUGACAUGUCUGUAGUAUGCAGUUUAUAGUACCCCACGAUAUUAAAACAGAAACAGAAAAAGAAAUUCCUCCCUCAUGGGUCCUCAUAAAGAAUCUGAUCGUAAGCAACAUCUUCAGCAUCCUUCCAUAUGUACAGCCGUGAGGUUCAGAAGACUUCUUUUUUUAAGAAACAUCUCAGCAAUAUAAUAAGGCCAAAGUUCAUCUCAUAAAAACCGUUUUCUAGGAGACCGUAAAUAUUGCUACUCAAAUAUCUAAUAUAUUAUUUAAUAUUGGGAAUAAAUUUUCAAGUCUUUGGAAAGAUUUAGGCAGUACUCUCUAAAUAUUAGUUGUCUCAACCAUUUUUUUAUACAUUAAGCAGCAAUAUGUUUAGGAUCUAGUCUUUGACAGAUACCAGAAUGCAGCUAUUCAGUGUUCAAGUAUAGAGUCAUACACUUUAAAAGUUAAUCGAAAAAGGAAAAAAAAAAUUAGCCAAGUAUGGUGGUGCAUGCCUGUGGUCCUAGCUACUUGGGUGGCUGAAGUGGGAGGGUCACUUGAGCCCAGCAGGUUGAGGCUGCAGUGAGCCAAGAUAGCACCACUGCCCUCCAGCCUGAGCCACAGAGCGAGACCCUGUCUCAAAAAAAGAAAAAGAAAAAGAAAAAAAAGUUAGUCAAUCUGCCCCUUCCCCUUAAUGGUGGCUGAGGAAUCAGCUGGCAUGGUCAGUGAGGCUGGUGCCAAGUGUUCAACUGAUAUAGCCAAAAUGACUGGCAGGACAAAGGCACUGGGUUUGACCAGCAUGGUUGGCAUAUUUGGUAGUGGAGCUGGUCCUCAGGAUCAUGCCCUGGGCAUUUGGCAGGACCAUGGAUUCUGCUAGCAUAGCUGGUGUGUUUGUCAUGCUGAGACCAAGAAGCCAGCCCACAUGGCCAACAUUUUUGGGAGGCGAGGGCUGAGGAUUCAGCUAGCAUGAGUGGAAAUAGCAGGCCAGGGCCAAGAAAGUGGCCCACAUGGUUGAGAGACUGGUUACAUACCAGGAGAUCAAGCAAAUGAGUAAAUAUAUUGGAGCUAAUAUAUUGAGGAUAGUGUGUUUGUUAUUAUAGGAGAUAAGAGUACCAGAUAUAGAAAGAGUAAAGACAAAUCCUAUCGUAUUGGAUUGUUUUUAGAGGUAUUGAUAUGAAUUCAUGGUUUUUAACAGAUAAAUAGAUUUAGAUUUCUCUGUGUGUAUGUGUGUUUAUAUAUGUGUAUAUGUGUAUGUAUACACAUAUACACAUGUAUGUAUUUUCUUUUUUUUUUUUUUUUGAGAUGGAGUUUCGCUCUUGUUGCCCAGGCUGAAGUGCAAUGGCACGAUCUUGGCUCACCACAACCUCCACCUCCCAGGUUCAAGUGAUUCUCCUGCCUCAGCCUCCCGAGUAACUGAAUCGGAUUACAGGCAUGCGCCACCAUGCCCGGCUAAUUUUGUAUUUUUAGUAGAGACAGGGUUCCUCCAUGUUGGUCAGGCUGGUCUUGAGCUCCUGACCUCAGGUGACCCACCCACCUUGGCUUCCCAAAGCAUGUAUGUAUUUUCUAACCUUAUCUGCUGAAGGGACCUGGAAGCAGUGACACCCAGUAACAGAGAGCUCACUUACUACUCAAAUGUUGGUCUAGAUGCCUUUUCCCACCAGAAGGAACCAGAGCUCUUUGGGGAAAUGACUGAGUCUAGGGCUGUGUGUGGGAAAGCACGUGAUAAUCCCAGAACAGUUUUAUACCAGAAAGUAAGGAAGCAUUCCAAGAGUGGUGGGGAUGUAUCAAAACAACAUGGGGAAAAUCUUGAGGAAUUCGAGCAUCAAAAUAAGUAAAGAUAGUAACAGAUUAUAACAACUAAUAUAGAGAGAGUAUUGCCUAAAUCUUUCCAAAGACUUGAAAAUUUAUUUCCUAUAUCAAAUAAUACAUUAGGUUUCUGAGUACUUGGGCAGCAAUAUUUAAUUUAGGGUCUCCUAGAAAAUGGUUUCUAUGAAAUGAACUUUGACAUUAUGAUAUUGCUGAGAUUUUUUUUAAAAAAGAAAUCUCUGAACCUCAUGGCUAUAUAUAUGAAAGGAUGCUGAAGAUGUUGCUUACAAUUAGACUUUUUAUGAGGACCCAGGGGGAGAAAUUUCUUUCAGAUCUCUGGACUAGAAAUAAUCAAUAUUCUAUUGAAUAAAAUAGAAAUCUUUGAGUCUGUGAUGGUAUAAAGAAGUGAAUGAAUGAAUGAAUGAAUGAAUGAACAAGUAAAUGGGGGAGAAAGGAAAACUCCACCCUGUGGUUGAAUGCCAGCAUAAUGUAGACGGAAUUAUGGAAUUAGAGAAUCUGCAUUUGGCACCAUUAUAGUAGUGACUGAUUUAGGCAGGUAUCAUCAAUGAAUGUGAAAACACCAGGUGAAGGUUGACUAAGAACAGACUAUUUGCAUAGACUGAAAGUAUCUCGUCAAACACACAAAAAUGUAUGUCAGUUAAUUAGCACAAAGUAUUUAUAGUUAAUUUACAUUGGAAAAAUCUGACACAUACCAUCUAAACCAAGUGAUUAAGGUUAGCAUCUCCAGUAGUGGGACACGUCAAUGUGUGCCUCUUCAUCAUAGGCACAGAGAAGAACACAGGUGGUACUCUUGCCAAACAAUCACCUGAAUUUAACACCAGGAAACAUACAUAGAGUGAUAUAGAUAGAGAUACAGAUAACGAUACAGAUAGAGACAGAUGUGUAUACACAUGUAUAUUUAUCAAGAUAGAGAAUUAAUUAAUGAAUGAUAUGACAAAUGUAAAAUGUUAGCAGUUAAGGAAUCCAGGUGAAAUUUAUACCAGAAUAGACUUAAAGAUUUCUGUUUUAUUCAGUGAGUUAUAAUAUUUUAUAAUCAUUUAUUUCAAUGCUCAAAUUCUCCAAGAUGUUUCCCGCAUCCUUCUAAUAUAUGCCCACUACUCUUGGAAAACUUCCUUACUUUCUGGUAUAAGAUGUUCUUUUGAAAUUAUUUUAAAAUAAAAAGUUUUUAAAAACUUAAAUCAGUAAACUAGGAUUAAGAUUUUAAUCCUCUUGUGAAAAUUGAGAGGCACAGGAGUAUUGAAAAUACAAGUAUUAGCCUAAAUAGCCAACCCCAAGGUAACACCCACAGGCAGCCGCAAAAUGGUGCCGUGGCAGGUGGAGCUUUGUGUGGGCUGAGUCGGUGUUACCCCAUGAGCAGUGCUGCCAGUUACACCAAGCUCCACCCAUCGCUGCACCAUUACAAGAGGUAAAUACGUUUGAAUGCGACAUCCAUUUCAUUACCAUUACAGUGUUUAAUUGUAAACAUUACAAGAAGGCAGGUUUAAGUUUAACAGAAAGUGAAACUUCCUAGAUCUCUCCACAAAAAGAAUGGGCAGCCAUAUUUGAAAUAAGUCCUUUUGACUGGAGAGAAGCUACUCAGUUGGGUUAUAAAAAGGAUUCAGGAUUGCAAGAUGAUUUGAGUCAGCUUGUUUCUAAGGUGGUGGUGGUGGUGUUUUUCUAACCCUGAUUGUCUAUUAUCUAGUAUAACAGGGAUGUAUAAUAGCCCCCUCCUCCCAGUUUUAGGACAGUAUUUGAAUGUGACAUCCUAACUUGAACUCCAUAAAAAAUAAAUUAGGUAAAAUAGUUGAAAAGGGGAAGAAAGGAGGAAUGAAAAAUGAACAAUUGUUUUGAAAAGGCAGUUUUCAUAGGAUAAAGACUUGCCUAAACGAUGAGGAGGCCCUUUUUUUUUUUUUUUUUUUUUUUCAUUUUUCUAGUUCCACUUAGGAUAGACCAAGAUAAUAUAUUAAAUUACAAAAGAAAUAUUUUAGUUAAACAUAGGGAACAGCUGUCUGACUAUAAAACUAAGCAACAUGGAAAAAAUUCAAAAGAAUGUUGUAGAAUUUCCUUCUGGAGAGUUUUAAAAACUAAGGUUGACUCCCCAUCACUUAGUGCCCAUCCCAACCUCACCAUACUUGUCAAUAUUGUACCCAUUUGAUACAGAUCAUCUCAUACAAUUAGCCAUAUGGAUUAUAUAUGAAUAUGAGACAUGUAUAACCUGUAUGUUGAAUGAUUGAAUAUUUUUGAAAGUGCAGCUUUCGUUUUUAAAACCUUUGUCGCCCAGGAAUUUUAGAUAAAGCCAACGUUUUUGGCUCUAAAAUUGAACUUUGAGCCGGGCACAGUGGCUCACACUUGUAAUCCCAGCACUUUGGGAGGCUGAGGCAGGCAGAUCACCUGAGGUCAGGAUUUCGAGACCAGCCUGGCCAAUGUGGGAAAAUCCUGUCUCUACUAAAAGUACAAAAAUUAACCUGGCGUGGUGGUGGGCACCUGUAAUCUCAGCUACUUGGGAGGCUGAGGCAGGAGAAUAGCUUGAACCCAGGAGGCAGAGGUUGCGUGAGCUGAGAUUGCACCAUUGCACUCCAGCCUGGGAGACAAGAGCGAAACUCUGUCUCAAAAAAUAAUAAUAAUAAUAAAAUAAAACUGAGCCUUUGUAGCAAUGGGUGGUUGUUUUAAGCCUUAAUAAAGAAAUGUGUUUUAAUUCCAGAUAUUAACCAAAAGGCACCUAACAUAUAUUGCUAAAACUACCCCCAAUUCAGCAGGCAUAGAGACAUAAAACACUAAACUUAAGAGAACAAAAUGGUAAAUAGGACUUUAUCAAACUUUAAACUUCUAUUCAUCAACACUGGGAAAAAAUAUUCACUAAAUACAUACAUACACACACAAAAACACAUACACACAUGACAAAGUACUUGUAUUGAGAAGAUAUUUUAAAAGUCAGUAACAAAAGAUAUUUAAUAGAUAUUUAGUAUCUAUUAGAUACUUAAAACAACAUAAGUUUUUAAAUGGGCAGAAGACUUGAACAGACUCUCCAAAUAUACAAAGUAAGCACAUGAAUAAGUGUUUAUGCAAAUGAAAGCCACAAAGAGAUAGUACUACAGUAUCACUAAAAUAGCUAAAAUUAACAAAACUGACAGUACCAAAUGCUCGUGAAGAUAUGGAGCAACUGGAACUCUGAUACACUGUGAUGAGAGGGUAAAAUGGCAUAAUAUUUUAGAAAACUGAGAAGCAGUUUCUUAUAGAUGUACAUCUAUCCUGUAACCCAGGGAUCCUAUUCUUACUCAAAAGAAAUGAAAGCAUAUGUCCACAAAAAGACUUGUACAAGAGUGUUCAUAGCAGCUUUACUGGAAAAAGUCCAAAAGUGGAAACAACCCAAAUGUCCAUUAACAGGAGAAUAGGUAUUUUUAAAUGAUCAUAUAUCAUUAAUGGAAUACUACUCAGCAAUAGAAAAGAAUGAACUACUAAUACAAACAACUGAAUCUUCAGAAACACUGUGUUAAGCAAAAGAAGCCAGACACACACAAAAAAUUAUGUACUAAAUGUAUUAUUCCAUUUAUAUGACAUUCAGGAACAGAAUAAAUUAUGGUGGUAAAAAUUAGAACAGUGAUUACUUAUAGGAAUUGACUGAAAGAGGAUAAAACAGAACCUUCUGGGGUAAUGAAAAUGUCCUAUAUUUUGACUGGGGAGAUGGCCAUGUGGGUAGAUAAAUUCAUCAAAAUUCAUUCAGUUGUACACCUAAAGAUCUGUACAUUUUGUUAUAUGGCAACGUUUAAAAAAAAUACUCCGCCUCCAGUCUCCUUUUGAACUGUUUGAAGUAGUACAACUGAUAGGCAGAUUCUGCUAAAAAGCUAAAAAUAUAAUUUUUCUCUAGAGUACAAAUUUCUUUUUUUUUUCCACCGUAAAUGCCAGCCUCCCAUCAGAGGCUGAACCACAGUGGAAUCAACUUUCAUCAGCCAGCCCCUCUGUGGCUCACUGAGCUUUGGAUUCCAGGUCCCUUUCCCAGCACUUAGUCCCAUUUUUAAUUUUCAGGAAGUAUUGUUCCAAAACUUGGCUCAGACUUAUCCUCUCCUUGGAUUCCUUUCUCCAUUUGUUUUCUCGGUUUUGCUCACUUACUCUUUAACUUGCACCCCUCUUUUUCCAAGGUGGUGGAUUAGGGGGUGUUAAUGCUGGGGCAGUGUUAGGCACAGAACCUAGGAGUCAUCUCCCUCACUCCGGGACCGCAUCAAUCAUCAGUCACAGACAUGACAGUUCAUUUUUCCCUCCUGAACGCGCCUGCACAGAUGGGUGUAUCGCUCAAGUAGCCAAAUGGAUGUAGCUGUUGGGGGACAGGGCCUGAGGGGCAGCAGGGAGAGAAAAGAACAAAGAAAGAAAGAAGAAUGGUUCUUUGUGGGGCAGCAAACUUUCUUCUGGUUCCCAGCCUGAAUGUUUCUGAUCUGGUUUUCUUCUUUUUGUGAUGUUUGAACUUGUUUCCUCAACUCAGAUGCUGAACUCUUGUCCAAAAAACCUAAGGGCAGCAUAGUGUGAGAGACUGUGGGAGGCAAGUCCAGCAAUCCAGCAAAAAGAAUUGCAGAACUGUGAAGAUAAAUGUGUGUCCGUAUCAGGACUGCGCUGGAGAACGGGAAGAGAGGGGUUGGGGUGCUAAGACUGUGUGUGUGUGUGUGUGUGUGUGUGUGUGUGUGUCUUGACAAACUGAUGAGAAACACUAUUGAGUAGUUUUCUCCUCUCUGCUCUCACACACAGUCUGGCACUUUCUUCUUCUGUGACAGCUGCCAUUAACUUUUUAAUGCGAAGACAAGGGUAUCUUGCCAAUUGGAUGUUGAAAUCUCUGGCAAGGAAAAGCUUGCUUUAAAAAAAAAAGAGGCAGGGAAUAUGGGGAAGGUUGGGCAGACAUACCAAAGGUCCGGGGGAAGACAGGGUACUAAGUUGGACCUUACAAUGCAGAAUGGCUGCCCUGCUUCUGAUAAAAUCCCCUCAAAUGAAGUUGGGAAAAGAAAGAGGAAAUGGGAGUGUGAGUGUAAGGGAGAUAAGGAACUCUUUUACGCAGUUGCAAUGACACAGAUAUUAAGUAUUAUUUGCAAUUCACUCCCGAUGGAUGUGAGAACUCCUCAUGGAGUUUUGGUGUAUAUGUGGGACCUUGUGCUAAAUGUAGAAUAAUCUUGUUUGUGCAGAAAGAGAAGGAAAGAGAAAAUAUUAGGAGACCUCUGUAGACCAAAACAUUAUGAUACAAAAGAUUGUUCCAGUCAUUUCCUUCCAUAGCUUAUCUCAGAGAAGGGGAGUUCUGGUGUUCGUGGCUCGCCUAUCAGGUCUUCCCCUCACCUCUAAACUACGGCAGCUCUUGAUCCUUAUUACUGGUACCUACCCCAAACUCACCAGGUCUAAAUAAAACUGAACAUAAAAACAUCCUGUUGUGAAUUCAGUUCUCAUGUACCUUCAGCUUUGCAGCAAAGAAUGCAAAAGCCUUUUUUUUUUUUUUUUUUUUUUUUUUGAGACAGAGUUUCGCUCCGUUGCCCAGGCUGGAGUUCAGUGGAGCGAUCUCAGCUCACUGCAACCUCCCCCUCCCGAGUUCAAGCAAUUCUCCUGCCCUCACCCUCCCGAGUAGCUGGGACUACAGGUGUGCACCAUGACGCCCAGCUAAUUUUUGUAUUUUUAGUAAGAGACAGGGUUUCACCGUGUUAGCCAGGGUGGUCUCGAUCUCUUGACCUCACGAUCUGCCCACCUCAGCCUCCCAAAGUGCUGGGAUUACAGGCGUGAGCCACGGUGCAUGGCCACAAAAGCCUUUUUUAAUCUAGUUUUUAUUAGCUUGGCCUCACACUGGACUCUUUAAAAAAGAGUCCUAAAAUAUGAAUAUGGAAUAUUAUAUGAAAUAUUUUAUAAAAAUAUUUUAUAAAAAGCUCAGCAUUUAUGGAGAUCUUAGUGUAUUUUAGCUGCCCUAAUUGCUUUUUUCCUUUGUGUUGAACGUAUUCCCAUGGGAGAAGAAAGUUCACCCUCCUGAGUCCCUGAGCUCCUGCAGGAAGAAUUAUUUACCAUCCUGGAAUUUUAAUGAGUCUUGACAAUUACUGUAAUCCAGGUCAUUGAACGCGGGUCUGUCAUCGCCAGUGUCAUCUUCCAGAGAUGAUGCUCCCCCAACUAAGCUGAGAAGAAAAUGAGUCCUUGUGAAUGCCAAAGAGACAUGAAUGUGACCUGCACCAAUGCUGCAAACCUAAAGCCAGUGGGACUAGAAACUGUGGAAAUGACAGUCUUCCGGUCCGGUCAGAGCAUCUGAAAUAAAUUGCCCACAGUUUUCUUCCAAACUUUUAAAUUGUUUACAAAAGGUUUGGUGGUACCAAUCUUACUGAGACGGCCUAGAAAUACAAGUAACGUAAAUUUCUUACAGAGUGUCUACAAUGCUGCAUGCCAGAGGCACUCAGCACACCUGAAGGAUGUGAAGCUCCUGUAGGAACAGUAGCUCUGUACAACAGUAAUCUCUAGACAACCAACGUAAAUUUAAACAAAAAGGUGUGAGACCACACACCCUUCUUCCAGUGGGGCAUAACUGCCCAGGUGUAAAAUCAGACAGGAACCCUGAAAUAUGAACCAUCUCCAGUUUGCAGACAGACAUUGCUGCCAUUCUCCACUUGACUCCCCUGUGCCCAUGCCUGAAAGCCCCGCUUCCCCUAGAGAGGUGGGGGCAGUGUGGCCACAGCCUCUCUCCCCGCAGUACCACCUGGUCCCAAAAGUCCCAGCCCUCCACGGCAGCACUAGUGAGGCCUCCUUGCUGUUGCUGCUGUUACUCCCUGAGCCUUCUAGAGAAUCUCCUGCAUGCCCUGUGAGAAUGUGCUGAUGCUGGGGCCACUGCCACAGUCGCGGGUUUUCUCCCAGACCCCCUUCUGGUGCCAAGUAGGAAAGAUGGGACCAGGCUAAUUCUGUUGCCACUGAGACAAGUGAAGACAUAUCCUGAUGUCUGGAGUUGGAUCUCAGAAGGCGCCUUCCAGUGUAUAAACUGAUAUGAAAUGGUGGUUAGGUCCUGUGGCACUGCACACCAACACUGUAUUACCUUGCUCGGGACACCGUAACAAAAUACCACAGACCGCGUGGCUUAAGCAACGUAAAUUGAUUUCCUCACAGUUCUGGAGGCUGGAAGUCCGAGAUCAAGGGGUCGGCAGGGUUGGUUUCUCCUGAGGCCCCCUCUCCUUGGUGUAUACAUGGCUGCCUGCUCGCUGUGUCCUCACGUGGUCUAUCCUCUCUCCCUGUGCUCCCCAGUGUCUUUCUGUAUGUCCAGAUUUCCUCCUGUUACAAAGAUACCAGUCAUACUGGAUUUGGAACCACCCUGCCUGCCUCAUUUUAACUUAAUCGCCUCUUUAAAGGCCCUGUCUCCAAAUGCAGUCACAUCAUUCUGAGGUUCUGGUGAUUUAGGCUUCCACCUAUGAAUUUGGUGGGGACACAGCUCAGCCCACCACAGACAUUAUGGGUAAAAUAGGCUCAUGGCAACAACUUCCGAACCUAACUACUGCUUGGGUAAUUGUUAAGGGUUUCAAAAUAACUGACUGUCAAACAAGCUCUGGAAACUGCAUUCCAAAUAAACUGUGGGGCUCUGCCUGUUAAAAGGUAGGAGGUCCUGGCGAAUCUGUUAUGUCCAGUAAUUACUGAAUACUCCCUUAGGGGCCAUUCAGGGUCUGCUGGUUACUUCAAUAAAGAAUGCUGUAAGAAAA